rnacentral:lncRNA from 1 species
CAGCCAGUGUAGUAGCUAAAGACAUCUGGAUGGAUCCAAGACAAUGGACAGAAAGAAAUAUUCCACAUAAGGUUCCAACUGAUCAGCCACAGUCUGAAGGGACACAAGAGACUCAUUCAUCACAUGACUCGAUGUUCGAUACAUCCUCGUAGAUGUUCGAGCGACAGAUAUUUAGACGAUGUCGGCAGUCAGCAAGAAGACAUCCAUCCUUCCAAUCACAAAAAACUCAGUCACAGAGGGGCACAAAGAAGAAAAAAGAAAAGACAGUUGCACGUGCGCCACUCUCGAGAGUACAGGAGCAAUCUGUCUCAGAUUCGGAGACCAAAGAGAGUGAUGAUGAUACUGGUAGUAGUAGUCAUGGAUCUGAUGAUCAGAGAGAAACUGGAAGAUAGGAGAUCACUGUUUAUGAGACAACCGCAAGAUGAUAUUCGAUUCACCGAUGAAUCUCAGUUUACACAUGCCACACAAGAUAGGAACCAUGGUGGAUGAGUUGAUAGAGACCGUGGGGAGCCGAUUUCAUAUAGACGACGGGCUCCUAGAGGUCGUCCAGUACACGAUGCAGCUGCAGACGAUUUUACACAUGAAGUAGGAUCCAUGGAUGUAUCUGGAUCAUCCUCGCAUUAUGGAUCCUAUUAUCCGCAGCCACCUUAUGAUCCAUAUGGAUAUGGUGCAUCCGAGGCAUCGUCUUCUAGUGAUUACUAUCCUAUGCAGCCUGAAGCAUCUUACGGAUCAGAUUUUGCUACCUAAACUCCUCCACAGCCAUACCAUCAUCCUGAGGAUACUUCUCAGAGCCAGAGUUUGAGUGAGAGAUCUGANNNNNNNNNNNNNNNNNNNNAUGCUGCACAUUGCAUUGAUCUUAUGUUGAUGAAUAUUGAAAAGAUUCGUAGAGUGCAGCAGGUAGUGGAGAUUGCCCAGACUAUUACUAGAUUCAUCUACAAUCACACAUGGGUUUUUUCAUUGAUGCAGACGUAUACUGGAGGAAAGAUCUUAAGAUCAGAUAUCACACGAUUUGCUACCAACUAUAUAGCGCUUAAUAGUCUUCUUCAGAAGAAAGCAGUCUUACAUCAGAUGCUUGUCAGUGUCGAGUGGCAGGAGAGCAGAUAUGCGAAGACCGGCACUGAUGGAAGUCAUGUGGAGAACUUGGUGACGAGUCAGUCAUUCUAGCAGCGUCAUUCUAACAACGGGCUGAAAAGGUAGUGAAGGCUAUUAAGCCAUUAUAUGAGGUGCUUCGCACGGUGGACAGUGAAAAUACCCACAGAUGUGCUUCUUAUAUUACAUGAUGGAGAGGGCAAAGAAACAGAUCAAUGAGAAUAAUCCGAAGCAUACUCAAGAAUUCAUUAACAUCAUUGAGCACCGUUGGGACUAUCAAAUAGGUAGAUAUUUGCAUAUAGCCGGUAAGCACGGAUUCAAGAAUAUUUUAAAAUAUAUUUUUUUUAUGCUUGUAAAAGUGUACUUAAUCAGUUAUGAAAUGUAUCUGCAGCUUAUUAUUUGAAUUCGAGAUUUCAGUAUACCAUUUCUGGGAUAGAUAUGGAUAACGAGCUUCUUGCUGCUCUUAGUAAUAUGAUAUAUAAGAUGAUGUCCGAUCCAGAAAUCGCAUCAUUGUGUCUGCAAGAGGUAUACUAGUUUACAACAGAUGUGAUUAUUCAACUGAAUUCGAUCUGUACUCAACGAUAUAUUUAUAAAUUUAAUAAAUAUAUUUUUUUGCAGAUGAAAUAAUUUAGAGAGGGAUCAGACAGCUUUGGAAUCCCAUCAGCUAUCGUAAGCAAAAAGCAAAUGAAUCCAGAUAAAUUACAUAUCAAUAACGAGCAGCAUAGAUAGAUAUGUAAUUUUACUUAAUAAUAUCAUAAAAUUUGAUAUGUAAUUUUGCUUUUGUAGCUGAAUGGUGGAUUCAUUUUGAAAAGUCUGCAAAAUAUUUGAGAGGUGUGGCUGUCCGUAUUUUUUCUUAAAUGAUCUCUGCUAGUGGCUGUGAGUACAAUUGAUCGACUUUCGCCCUUAUCCACAGCAAACAAAGAAAUCGUCUAACACAAAAAUACCUCAAUGAUCUUGUAUAUGUUCACUAUAAUCUAAAAUUGAGACUAAAAUACAUUUAGAAGGAAGUACAACUAAAGUAUACUGAUCCGACACUAGAUGAUUAUGCUGACGAAGACGACGAUUCGAUCAUCGGAUGGCUUGCAGGUCAGCAGCAGGAGCCAGAGCUUGAUGAACCGGAGUCUCCUCCACGACCAGCCAGUGUGAUAGCUAAAGAGAUCUGGAUGGAUCCAGGACAAUGGACAGAAAAAAAUAUUCCACAAAAGGUUCCAGCUGAUCAGCCACAGUCUGAAGGGACACAGGAGACUCAUUCAUCACAUGACUCGAUGUCCGAUAUAUCCUCGUAAAUGUUUGAGCGACAGAUGUUUAGACGAUGUCGCCAGUCAGCAAGAAG